UACGGGGGGGAGCAAGCGUUGUUCGGAUUUACUGGGCGUAAAGGGCGCGUAGGCGGUCAGCACAAGUCAGUUGUGAAAUCUCCGGGCUUAACUCGGAAAGGUCAACUGAUACUGUGCGACUAGAGUGCAGAAGGGGCAACUGGAAUUCUCGGUGUAGCGGUGAAAUGCGUAGAUAUCGAGAGGAACACCUGCGGCGAAGGCGGGUUGCUGGGACGGUACUGACGCUGAGGCGCGAAAGCGUGGGGAGCGAACAGG
rnacentral:rRNA from 1 species